GACGAACGCUGGCGGCGUGCUUAACACAUGCAAGUCGAACGGAAAGGCCCUGCUUUUGUGGGGUGCUCGAGUGGCGAACGGGUGAGUAACACGUGAGUAACCUGCCCUUGACUUUGGGAUAACUUCAGGAAACUGGGGCUAAUACCGGAUAGGAGCUCCUGCUGCAUGGUGGGGGUUGGAAAGUUUCGGCGGGUGGGGAUGGACUCGCGGCUUAUCAGCUUGUUGGUGGGGUAGUGGCUUACCAAGGCUUUGACGGGUAGCCGGCCUGAGAGGGUGACCGGCCACAUUGGGACUGAGAUACGGCCCAGACUCCAACGGGAGGCAGCAGUGGGGAAUAUUGCACAAUGGGCGGAAGCCUGAUGCAGCAACGCCGCGUGCGGGAGGACGGCCUUCGGGUUGUAAACCGCUUUCGCCUGUGACGAAGCGUGAGUGACGGUAAUGGGUAAAGAAGCACCGGCUAACUACGUG
rnacentral:rRNA from 1 species